CUCCCCUGUGGACUAAGUGUGUGGUAUCACUGCUUAUGUCAACAAGUGCCUGUGAGGCAGGAAAUGCUGGCGGAGCAGAGGGCCUUUGAGUCCCGGGGAAAGACAACGUGGGCUGCACCUGAAGCUGCAUGUUUGUCUGGGUGUAAUGCAGGUCCAGGGUUGGUUAAGAGAAAUUCCUGGUGGUCAUGAGACUAGCACUCCGCACUCACAUCCUUACGUGGAGGGAGGAGCACAAGAAGCCAGAAGAACUUACAAAUACAACCCUAAAACCAGAAUUUGUGUGCCAGGUAUUGCGGUCAGUAGGAGGGUCAGCAUCAGCCAUGUGGCCUAAUUCAACUGUCACAGCCAAUGGGCAGGCUAUCCUAUCAAGAACUGGACAUUCUACUAAAAGGUAUUUCGCAAUAUCCAAUCAUGCAUCAUACUGUGUCUACAACUGACUGCAAGCAUACACCAAACAGCGCCAUACUGUAUUUUGUAAGAGUCACAAGAAUGAAUGUUUUUGCCUAUCAAAAGAUUUCUCAGACAUAGAGAAGAAAUAAUUUCGAAUUUUAAAAUGUAGAGAACUAAUCUGAUUUUAGGGCUUAAAAUUAGAAUUACUCAUCUACAGCCUUCAGAGGUAAUGUGUAGGGCUUUUCUGUGACCAAGAUCUUUCCUAUGGCCCCUUCCAAUACUCUAA